ensembl:misc_RNA Metazoa_SRP Metazoan signal recognition particle RNA
GCCAGGUGUGGUGGUGCACACCUGUAAUCCCAGCUACUUGGGAGGCUGAGGUAGAAGAAUCGCUUGAGCCCAGGAGGCGGAGGUUGCAGUGAGCCAAGAUUGUGCCACUACACUCCACCCUGGGCGACACAGCGAGACUCUGUCUCAA